CGACUAAGCGUACACGGUGGAUGCCCUGGCAGUCAGAGGCGAUGAAGGACGUGCUAAUCUGCGAUAAGCGUCGGUAAGGUGAUAUGAACCGUUAUAACCGGCGAUUUCCGAAUGGGGAAACCCAGUGUGAUUCGUCACACUAUCAUUAACUGAAUCCAUAGGUUAAUGAGGCGAACCGGGGGAACUGAAACAUCUAAGUACCCCGAGGAAAAGAAAUCAACCGAGAUUCCCCCAGUAGCGGCGAGCGAACGGGGAGCAGCCCAGAGCCUGAAUCAGUGUGUGUGUUAGUGGAAGCGUCUGGAAAGGCGUGCGAUACAGGGUGACAGCCCCGUACACAAAAAUGCACAUACUGUGAGCUCGAUGAGUAGGGCGGGACACGUGGUAUCCUGUCUGAAUAUGGGGGGACCAUCCUCCAAGGCUAAAUACUCCUGACUGACCGAUAGUGAACCAGUACCGUGAGGGAAAGGCGAAAAGAACCCCGGCGAGGGGAGUGAAAAAGAACCUGAAACCGUGUACGUACAAGCAGUGGGAGCACGCUUAGGCGUGUGACUGCGUACCUUUUGUAUAAUGGGUCAGCGACUUAUAUUCUGUAGCAAGGUUAACCGAAUAGGGGAGCCGAAGGGAAACCGAGUCUUAACUGGGCGUUAAGUUGCAGGGUAUAGACCCGAAACCCGGUGAUCUAGCCAUGGGCAGGUUGAAGGUUGGGUAACACUAACUGGAGGACCGAACCGACUAAUGUUGAAAAAUUAGCGGAUGACUUGUGGCUGGGGGUGAAAGGCCAAUCAAACCGGGAGAUAGCUGGUUCUCCCCGAAAGCUAUUUAGGUAGCGCCUCGUGAAUUCAUCUCCGGGGGUAGAGCACUGUUUCGGCAAGGGGGUCAUCCCGACUUACCAACCCGAUGCAAACUGCGAAUACCGGAGAAUGUUAUUACGGGAGACACACGGCGGGUGCUAACGUCCGUCGUGAAGAGGGAAACAACCCAGACCGCCAGCUAAGGUCCCAAAGUCAUGGUUAAGUGGGAAACGAUGUGGGAAGGCCCAGACAGCCAGGAUGUUGGCUUAGAAGCAGCCAUCAUUUAAAGAAAGCGUAAUAGCUCACUGGUCGAGUCGGCCUGCGCGGAAGAUGUAACGGGGCUAAACCAUGCACCGAAGCUGCGGCAGCGACGCUUAUGCGUUGUUGGGUAGGGGAGCGUUCUGUAAGCCUGUGAAGGUGUGCUGUGAGGUAUGCUGGAGGUAUCAGAAGUGCGAAUGCUGACAUAAGUAACGAUAAAGCGGGUGAAAAGCCCGCUCGCCGGAAGACCAAGGGUUCCUGUCCAACGUUAAUCGGGGCAGGGUGAGUCGACCCCUAAGGCGAGGCCGAAAGGCGUAGUCGAUGGGAAACAGGUUAAUAUUCCUGUACUUGGUGUUACUGCGAAGGGGGGACGGAGAAGGCUAUGUUGGCCGGGCGACGGUUGUCCCGGUUUAAGCGUGUAGGCUGGUUUUCCAGGCAAAUCCGGAAAAUCAAGGCCGAGGCGUGAUGACGAGGCACUACGGUGCUGAAGCAACAAAUGCCCUGCUUCCAGGAAAAGCCUCUAAGCAUCAGGUAACAUCAAAUCGUACCCCAAACCGACACAGGUGGUCAGGUAGAGAAUACCAAGGCGCUUGAGAGAACUCGGGUGAAGGAACUAGGCAAAAUGGUGCCGUAACUUCGGGAGAAGGCACGCUGAUACGUAGGUGAAGCGACUUGCUCGUGGAGCUGAAAUCAGUCGAAGAUACCAGCUGGCUGCAACUGUUUAUUAAAAACACAGCACUGUGCAAACACGAAAGUGGACGUAUACGGUGUGACGCCUGCCCGGUGCCGGAAGGUUAAUUGAUGGGGUUAGCGCAAGCGAAGCUCUUGAUCGAAGCCCCGGUAAACGGCGGCCGUAACUAUAACGGUCCUAAGGUAGCGAAAUUCCUUGUCGGGUAAGUUCCGACCUGCACGAAUGGCGUAAUGAUGGCCAGGCUGUCUCCACCCGAGACUCAGUGAAAUUGAACUCGCUGUGAAGAUGCAGUGUACCCGCGGCAAGACGGAAAGACCCCGUGAACCUUUACUAUAGCUUGACACUGAACAUUGAGCCUUGAUGUGUAGGAUAGGUGGGAGGCUUUGAAGUGUGGACGCCAGUCUGCAUGGAGCCGACCUUGAAAUACCACCCUUUAAUGUUUGAUGUUCUAACGUGGACCCGUGAUCCGGGUUGCGGACAGUGUCUGGUGGGUAGUUUGACUGGGGCGGUCUCCUCCUAAAGAGUAACGGAGGAGCACGAAGGUUGGCUAAUCCUGGUCGGACAUCAGGAGGUUAGUGCAAUGGCAUAAGCCAGCUUGACUGCGAGCGUGACGGCGCGAGCAGGUGCGAAAGCAGGUCAUAGUGAUCCGGUGGUUCUGAAUGGAAGGGCCAUCGCUCAACGGAUAAAAGGUACUCCGGGGAUAACAGGCUGAUACCGCCCAAGAGUUCAUAUCGACGGCGGUGUUUGGCACCUCGAUGUCGGCUCAUCACAUCCUGGGGCUGAAGUAGGUCCCAAGGGUAUGGCUGUUCGCCAUUUAAAGUGGUACGCGAGCUGGGUUUAGAACGUCGUGAGACAGUUCGGUCCCUAUCUGCCGUGGGCGCUGGAGAACUGAGGGGGGCUGCUCCUAGUACGAGAGGACCGGAGUGGACGCAUCACUGGUGUUCGGGUUGUCAUGCCAAUGGCACUGCCCGGUAGCUAAAUGCGGAAGAGAUAAGUGCUGAAAGCAUCUAAGCACGAAACUUGCCCCGAGAUGAGUUCUCCCUGACCCUUUAAGGGUCCUGAAGGAACGUUGAAGACGACGACGUUGAUAGGCCGGGUGUGUAAGCGCAGCGAUGCGUUGAGCUAACCGGUACUAAUGAACCGUGAGGCUUAACCUU
rnacentral:rRNA from 1 species